rnacentral:rRNA from 1 species
GACGAACGCUGGCGGCGUGCCUAACACAUGCAAGUCGAACGGGACCAGGGGCAACUCUGGUUCAGUGGCGGACGGGUGCGUAACACGUGAGGAACAUGACUUUCGGCGGGGGAUAGCCGG